CAGAGAGAAGGAGAAGAAAAAGGAGUAGAUAGAGGAUAGAGGAGAGGAGGAGGAGAGAAGAGUAAGGCCAAGUGCGCACCACCGGCAAUCCGGAUGGGACCCAAAGUGGCUUAAAAUUGACAGACUGAAGCCGUGGCUAUAUAAUACGCCACAUGGUUCGUCAAAUGUGCUUUAAUUAGGCUAAGGGCUAAAAAUGUUUGUGCGUAUUUAGUCUGUACAAGUCUACAGCAUUAUGUGUUUAUUUCUGAGCCAACUCCACCAGGACCUCGAUGACCCAAUGGGUCUGGGCGCAUUCAACAUCAAGGAGGAGGAGGAGAGGCCAGGUGGAGAAGACCAGGACCAGGGAGCAGUUCUGGGCUCGGUUCAGAGAGGAGGUCAUGGAUCCAUAUCUUGUUGGCCUCCAGGACAGCCUAGACCGGAGGUUCCAACACCUGGAGAUUCUGGGGGCCUUCAGUGUGUUGUGUUCUCUAGUGAGAGGAUCAACACCUUAUCCUGACCCUCCUCUCCAGGCAGUUCUUGCAAGCGCCAGAGGUUGCUGUGUUGCAAGAGUUGCCCUCUUACAAGCAACGUGCUAGUUGGAGCAUUCAAGGUAUGGCAUGAGUGUGACAAUAUUUUGAAGAGAACAUUUUAGUUCAGUGUUGCCCAACCCUUUUUCCUGUUGAACUACCACUCUGUUUGCUCUUCUUUAAUGUUGUACAUCUUUUAGUUUUUCAUGUAUUUCAGGGGUUGGACCAGCUGACGGCAAUGACAAAGUUGUUUGAUGAGUGGGGGCAGUCUACCCCUGCCUUAGCCAGCUGGCAGCAAUCGCACUGACCAUACCAGUGUCUUCCGUUAAUUGUGAGAGGGACUUCUCUGCAAUGAAACGAGUCAAAACAGACUAAAGGAACAGACUGCAGGGAGAGCAUCUAGCCGCCUGCAUGCGGCUCUCCAUCAACGGCCCCCCCAUCAAGGAGCUCAAUUACAGGAGGGUGUUGGAAAUCUUUUUCCCAAAUCCCAGAAGAAUAAAGUGCUCUGACAAAGGCUGUAAACUAUGUCAGAACUAAGUUUUUGUCAGAACCUGGAAAGAGAUUUCCAACGCCCUCCUUUUGUGAUGAACAUGAAUUAGUGGGCUCUAA